UUAGGCAAUCUGAGCUGCUGAGCUGAGGGGUUCUUGAAGAAGACCGGAUGGCCUUAUCUGUUCCCACCAGUGCAGGACCUGGGAGACAGUGGUGACAGCUCAGAAUUUCCCUGCCUGAUCUUUCAAUAGUUAAGAUAAAGAUAGUUUCAAUGAAUGCCCUAGAAAGACCAUUCAUGGCUGCCAGGCCACAAAUUCUAUAUGGAAUGGAUUGUUUCAACAAACGGUUCAUGAGAAGAAAGGCAGAGGUGUUCCUCAACUAACAACUAACACCUGUUCCAUCCAGUGCAACAAACCACAACCUGAGUUGCUAUCUGCCCCCAAAGAAGGAAAGACAGAUCUUCAAUUUGCUGGUUCACCCCUCAAAUGGCCUCUGUGCUGGAGCUGGCCCUAUCUGAAGCCAGAAGCCAGUAGCUUCUGGGUUCCCUACAUGGGUACAGGAGCCUAAGCACUUGGGCCAUCUUCUGCUGCUUUCCCAGACACAUUAACAACGAGCUGGAUCAGAAGUGGAGCAGCCAGAGCACUCAGAGGAUGCUGGUACCAAAAAUAGCGGCUUUAUUUGCUGCAUUACUGAACUGGCCCUCAAACUGAUCAUUUUUAAG